GCAGCUACACAUGCAGUCGAGGGGUAACAGGAGGUGCUUGCGCCUUGCUGACGACCGGCGCACGGGUGCGUAACGCGUAUACAAUCUGCCUUGUACUGGGGGAUAGCCUUUGGAAACGAAGAUUAACACCCCAUAACAUCUUAGUAUCGCAUGGUACAAAGAUUAAAGGUUACGGUACAAGAUGAGUAUGCGUCCUAUUAGCUAGAUGGUGUGGUAACGGCACACCAUGGCAACGAUAGGUAGGGGCCCUGAGAGGGGGAUCCCCCACACUGGUACUGAGACACGGACCAGACUCCUACGGGAGGCAGCAGUGAGGAAUAUUGGACAAUGGGCGGAAGCCUGAUCCAGCCAUGCCGCGUGCAGGAAGACUGCCCUAUGGGUUGUAAACUGCUUUUGUACGGGAAGAAACACUCCUUCGUGAAGGAGCUUGACGGUACCGUAAGAAUAAGCAUCGGCUAACUCCGUGCCAGCAGCCGCGGUAAUACGGAGGAUGCAAGCGUUAUCCGGAAUCAUUGGGUUUAAAGGGUCCGUAGGUGGACUGGUCAGUCAGAGGUGAAAUCCUGCAGCUUAACUGUAGAACUGCCUUUGAUACUGCUAGUCUUGAGUCAUUAUGAAGUGGUUAGAAAUAUGUAGUGUAGCGGUGAAAUGCAUAGAUAUUACAUAGAUACCAAUUGCGACGCAGAUCACUAAUAUGUACUGACACUGAUGGACGAAGCGUGGGGAGCGACGGGAUAGAUACCCCGGUAGUCACGCGUAACGAUGAUACUAGCUGUCGCUCCGCUGAUGCUAGCGACGGGAUAAGUAUCCACCUGGGAGUACGUCGAGAAUGGACUCAAGAUGACGGGUCGC
rnacentral:rRNA from 1 species